rnacentral:rRNA from 1 species
GAUGAACGCUCGCUACAGGCUUAACACAUGCAAGUCGAGGGGAAACGACAUCGAAAGCUUGCUUUUGAUGGGCGUCGACCGGCGCACGGGUGAGUAACGCGUAUCCAACCUGCCCACCACUUGGGGAUAACCUUGCGAAAGUAAGACUAAUACCCAAUGACGUCUCUAGAAGACAUCUGAAAGAGAUUAAAGAUUUAUCGGUGAUGGAUGGGGAUGCGUCUGAUUAGCUUGUUGGCGGGGUAACGGCCCACCAAGGCGACGAUCAGUAGGGGUUCUGAGAGGAAGGUCCCCCACAUGGGAACGGAGACACCGACCAAACUGCUACGGGAGGCAGCAGUGAGGAAGAGGGGUCAAGGGACGAGAGUCUGAACCAGCCAAGUAGCGUGCAGGAUGACGGCGCUAUGGGUGUUAAGCUGCUUUUAUAAGGGAAUAAAGUGAGUCUCGUGGGACUUUUUGCAUGUACCUUAUGAAUAAGGACCGGCUAAUUCCGUG